rnacentral:rRNA from 1 species
CCUACGGGUGGCAGCAGUGAGGAAUAUUGGUCAAUGGGCGAGAGCCUGAACCAGCCAAGUCGCGUGAAGGAUGAAGGAUCUAUGGUUUGUAAACUUCUUUUAUAUGGGAAUAAAGUGAGGAACGUGUUCCUUUUUGUAUGUACCAUAUGAAUAAGCAUCGGCUAACUCCGUGCCAGCAGCCGCGGUAAUACGGAGGAUGCGAGCGUUAUCCGGAUUUAUUGGGUUUAAAGGGUGCGCAGGCGGAAGAUCAAGUAAGCGGUAAAUUGAGAGGCUCAACCUCUUCGAGCCGUUGAAACUGGUUUUCUUGAGUGAGCGAGAAGUAUGCGGAAUGCGUGGUGUAGCGGUGAAAUGCAUAGAUAUCACGCAGAACUCCGAUUGCGAAGGCAGCAUACCGGCGCUCAACUGACGCUCAUGCACGAAAGUGUGGGUAUCGAACAGGAUUAGAUACCCGAGUAGUC